ACAAGUGGCGAUGAAGGCCGCCAGCGGCAGAGAAGGUGUAUGGCUACUUCUUUUAGUUGGCGAUAUAAAAUAUGGAUUUGAGAGGGGAAGGAUUUGGUCUCAAUCGCUAAUUUGAAGCUGGGUUUUUAAACCUAUUGUCGCUGCUCAGAGA